AUAGUGGCGGACGGGUGAGGAAUACGUAGGGAUCUGCCUUUAAGUGGGGGAUAACCCGGGGAAACCCGGAUUAAUACCGCAUGAUCUCGCAAGAGCAAAGUGGGGGAUCGCAAGACCUCACGCUUUUAGAGGAACCUACGUCGGAUUAGCUUGUUGGUGAGGUAAUGGCUCACCAAGGCGACGAUCCGUAACUGGUCUGAGAGGAUGAUCAGUCACACCGGAACUGAGACACGGUCCGGACUCCUACGGGAGGCAGCAGUGGGGAAUAUUGGACAAUGGGCGAAAGCCUGAUCCAGCAAUACCGCGUGUGUGAAGAAGGCCUUCGGGUUGUAAAGCACUUUAAGUUGGGAAGAAAAAACUUCGUCUAAUACAUGAAGUCUUGACGGUACCGACAGAAUAAGCACCGGCUAACUCUGUGCCAGCAGCCGCGGUAAUACAGAGGGUGCUAGCGUUAAUCGGAUUUACUGGGCGUAAAGCGUGCGUAGGCGGUUUGAUAAGUCGGUUGUGAAAGCCCCGGGCUCAACCUGGGAAUUGCGGCCGAUACUGUCAGACUAGAAAACGGUAGAGGGAGGCGGAACUCCAGGUGUAGCGGUGAAAUGCGUAGAUAUCUGGAAGAACACCGAUGGCGAAGGCAACCUCCUGGGCCUGUUUUGACGCUGAGGCACGAAAGCGUGGGUAGCAAACAGGAUUAGAUACCCUGGUAGUCCACGCCGUAAACGAUGAGAACUUGACGUUGGUUUGCUUAGCAAAUCGGUGUCGUAGCUAACGCGAUAAGUUCUCCGCCUGGGGAGUACGGCCGCAAGGUUGAAACUCAAAGGAAUUGACGGGGGCCCGCACAAGCGGUGGAGUAUGUGGUUUAAUUCGAUGCAACGCGAAGAACCUUACCUGGUCUUGACAUGUCAAGAAGUCUGCAGAGAUGCGGAUGUGCCUUCGGGAACUUGAACACAGGUGCUGCAUGGCUGUCGUCAGCUCGUGUCGUGAGAUGUUGGGUUAAGUCCCGCAACGAGCGCAACCCUUGCCCUUAGUUGCCAUCAUUCAGUUGGGCACUCUAAGGGGACCCCGGUGACAACCGGRGGAAGGUGGGGAUGACGUCAGUCAUCAUGGCCCUAWGACCGGGCUAMMMCGUACUWWAUGGUCGGUAC
rnacentral:rRNA from 1 species